rnacentral:misc_RNA from 1 species
GAAAUGCGAUAAGUAAUGUGAAUUGCAGAAUUCCGUGAAUCAUCGAAUCUUUGAACGCACAUUGCGCCCUAUGGUAUUCCGGAGAGCAUGCCCGUUUCAGAAUCAAUAAAAACCUCACCAAGCUCAUUGCUCUCGGGCAGUGACCAUUGGCUGGAUUUGGAUUUUUGCGUUUGCAAUCAUCUUAAAGUGAUUGUUUGUGCACCAAUUGAAUAGUAUCUUUUGGUUGUUCAAGUGCAACAGAGUUAUCUAUUUCGCUUUGGCAACUGAUUGACGCAUUUGAUGCUCACGCUUUUUAACAACUGAGGAGUUCGAAUCGGUUUGAUUUGAACCUCCCAAAACCUUGAUCUGAAAUCGGGCAAGAAAACCCGCUGAACUUAA